GGCGCUGGGGCAGGGAGGCCUGCUGCAAUCUGCGUCCCAGUGCCGAAGGACGGGAAAAUCGCAGCAGAGGCAACCGCAGAGUGAUCCGAAAGCGCGGGACGAUGCAGUCGGAGCCUCGUUCCGUUCCUCAAAAAGAUGACUGGGAAUUCGGUUAUGACGUGUAAUUGUAAUGGGAGGACUAGGCAUUUUUAACUACUUCCAUCAGAUGGUGCGGUGAGCCGCCCCGCUCUCACAGGGCUCUUUUCAUCACACACACACAGCGGUUCAUCACGUUAGGAUGCGGGGGAACAGCACGUUGCUGUGCCAGGGAAAGGCCAGACUGAAGCGAGGCGGCCAAGAGCUGGGCCUGGUGCCCCGUGCCGGUCAGCGCUGCCCUCCGUAACUGCUGCACCUCCUGCUGGCGCUGAGGAGGUGGGUGGCAUGGCUGGGUGGGCGCUGGGAGCCCCUUCCCACUGAGCUGUUGAUAUCAGUGCCAUUUACAUGCUUUGUAACUUAUUCAUCUUCUGUGACCGCUAGAAAAUGUCUCUGUUUUUUUAAGCCUUAUUUUCACGCAGAGAUCAUCAACUAAUGAAUACAGCAAUACUGGUUAAAAUGAAUACUGAGUCCUUUGUUUAAGAACAUGAAGAUGUUUAUGUUUUCUCUGUCAAGCAAUGAAAAACUCGUGCUGUAUUUUUAUAAGAUAACAGACAGUGAUAUAACUUCAGGAUCGUAUUCAUUUAAAACACAGUUGUGUUUUGUGUCUCUUACUCCCGCUGCAUGUUGACAAACCCUUCAGCGGAUGUGCACAGGGAAUUAAAACAGUGCUGUCCCUUG